rnacentral:rRNA from 1 species
UACGGAGGGGGCUAGCGUUGUUCGGAAUUACUGGGCGUAAAGCGCGCAGGCGGUCGUGCAAGUCGCGUGUGAAAGCCCCCGGCUCAACUGGGGAGGGUCACGCGAUACUGCUCGACUGGAAGGCAGGAGAGGGAAGCAGAAUUCCCGGUGUAGUGGUGAAAUGCGUAGAUAUCGGGAGGAACACCGGUGGCGAAGGCGCCACUCUGGGCCGGUACUGACGCUGAGGAGCGAAAGCGUGGGUAGCAAACAGG